UUUCCGUUGGUGAACCAGCGGAGGGAUCAUUACCGAGUUUACAACUCCCAAACCCAAUGUGAACCUUACCAAACUGUUGCCUCGGCGGGGUCACGCCCCGGGUGCGUCGCAGCCCCGGAACCAGGCGCCCGCCGGAGGGACCAACCAAACUCUUUCUGUAGUCCCCUCGCGGACGUUAUUUCUUACAGCUCUGAGCAAAAAUUCAAAAUGAAUCAAAACUUUCAACAACGGAUCUCUUGGUUCUG
rnacentral:misc_RNA from 1 species